rnacentral:rRNA from 1 species
UAGAUAAUGUACCGUUUGGUGUGGAAUAACCGGGGGAAGCUCUGGCUAAUACCGCAUAAGUUCCCUUGAGGUUCGCCGAUGGGGAAGAAAGCAGGGCAACUUGCGCCGAAUGAUCAGUCUGCGUCCCAUCAGCUAGUUGGUAAGGUAAUGGCUUACCAAGGCGACGACGGGUAGCUGGUCUGAGAGGAUGAUCAGCCACACUGGGACUGAGACACGGCCCAGACCUCUACGGGAGG